rnacentral:rRNA from 1 species
CGGCAACAGCUCAAAUUUGAAAUCUAACGUCUUUGGCGUUCGAGUUGUAAUUUGUAGAGGAUGCUUCUGGGAGGUCAUCGGUUUAAGUUCCUUGGAACAGGACGUCAUAGAGGGUGAGAAUCCCGUGUGUGACCGACCGACACCCUAUACGUAGCUCCUUCGAA